rnacentral:lncRNA from 1 species
GACACAUGGCGCCCUGGGUGGGGCCAGCCUGUUGAGUGGGGUCCUUGGUCCACGCCACGCAGGGAGCGCAGGACUUGUCAGAAUCAUAACCAGCCUUCCGCACCUCCUUGCUGAGCCCAGCAGUUCAGGGCUGAGCCUUCCAAGCACCAAACACGUAAGGUUGCCAGGGAAGGAGUGGCUGGAGUUCUUUGAGGGAAGACAGCUUUGGAGAAACUGAUUUUGGGUUUGCGAACAUGUGCUGGGGCUUUUCAGUUUUUGUUUUGCUAGUUUUGGGUGAAGACUCUCUCAUUGCCCAUCUGGGAGGUCAGGAGGACGAGACCAGGCUGGCCCCCCUCUCCAGGGUCUCCAGGCAGUAUCGGGUCGUCCCCAGUGAGGGGACACCCCUCUUAGAGUGGUGCUGCCUUCCAGGUGGUGAAAAUGGCAGUUCCGGACAAGGACUUGCUUAGAGGCCGGCAAACACGGUCCCCUGUAUGUAGGCUCCUCCUCCCUGGGUGUAGGCUCCUCCCCCCAAAUGUAAACUCCUCCUCCCUGAAUGUUGGCUCCUCCCCCCACAACGAAGGGUCCUUCCUGAGUGUUGGCUCCUCCUCCCUGGGUGUAGGCUCCUCCUCUCUGAAUGUUGCCUCCUCCCACCCAACAUAGGGUCCUUCCGGAAUGUUGGCUCCUCCCUGAAUGUAGGCUCCUCCUCCAUCAUAGGCUCCUCCUCCCUAGUAGGCUCCUCCUACCUAAAUGUAGGCUCCUCCCCAAAGGUAGGGUCCUCCCUGAACUUAGGAGGUGAGUGUCCACCCGCUGAAAGCUGGGUGGACCUCGAUGCACGUAAUGAGUUCCUUUGGCUGUUUGGAAUUGUGCAGAGCCUACUGCUCUCUGCAGAGAGAAGGAACCAGAGGUUCAAUGACCCCGAGUUUUGUCUUUUUUUACAUGCAUUUUUAUAUAGUCAAUGUUUGCCUCAUUUUGUUAGUUUCUCCCAUUCCACACAGACGUGUCCAAAUGUUUGCCGAGGGACCAGAUGUUCCUGAGACAGCACCAGCUUGUUUUCAUCCCAGGCCGCCUGCCCAGAUUUAUGAGAGCGAGUCCCUCAAGGGGGCCAGGGGUCUGAAAGGACCUGGGACUCAUUCAUGGGGUGAACAGGGGUGCAGGCGAAGGGGGCUUUGGAGGCUGUGGGUGACGAGGGCUCUCUCCGCUCUGUGCCUCUUCUUUCUCCUCCCGUCCUGUGUCCCCUCAAAGGCUCCUAGUUUCUGCCCUCCUCCCCCCCAUAAGUCAAGCUGGCCGUAGGGGCAGCUGUAACGGCACAGACUCCAAUGCCUUUGGUGGCUCUGAGCCCCUCUUCUGGAUUCUUUUGCAGAGGGGUCAGCAGGCUCCCCUCUGGGGAGGGUCGAGUCCCCUCACUGCACUAGGAAAAGGGACAUUCAGAGCCUUGGGGUCUGGGAGAGGGGGAGAGGGGACGGGGGAGGGAGAGGAAGAUGUUUGCUUCUUGAAAGCUGUGAGAGAUCAGGCUGGGGACCGGGAGGGGGGUGCAUUCUGCAAGUUCCUCCUCCAGCACAGAUUCUGGAUGCAAAUAACCCUCCUCCAGGGCACCCCGUCCCCCCUCCCCUCCCCCGCAGCACUCUGUCAGAUCCAGUUGGUCAAGGACUCAGGGAGAGUUCAGGAGAGUCGUCAGACCACCCAGCUGAAUUAGUAACCAGGUUCCAGGGAUGGACACUUGUCUUGAGGACGGGGGCGACUUUGGAGGUGGGGAGCCAGGAGGAAGGCAGAGGUCCUUUGGGAGACCAAGGAGAUGGCGCCAGGAGGCGGGAGAGGACGCGGGAAGCCCAGCACUCUUCUUGAAAAUAGCAGGUGCUGCGUAGACAUCUGGCCCCUUAACUGGCAGAGUAGCUACAGGAGGAGCAGGAGGGGAAAGCGAGGCCACUCCGGAGUGUGGGCUUCAAACACCCCCCUUUCCCAGAGUUGGGUCUCCCUGCAGCUGAGAGCCACUGUCAUUAGCUCUGCUGCAGGCCAGGUCUGGGGCUCCUGGACAGACAGGGACAGAGCCGGUGAGCCGGGGGCUUGAUCUCAGGCAGGGCAGUAGUGACCUUCCCCUGGUGCCGCCUGGAAGUGACACGUCCAGGUCUGCAAUUCCGCUCCCUGCACUGCCCCCACAGGCUGCAGCCCCCAGCCUCGCCCCAACCCCCGGUGGAGGCAGCAGGGGCAGCAAGGCCAUCAGCGUCUCUGCUGCUGUGACCUGAGCUUCUGGCUGGGAUGGGGGAGGCCCUCUGGGUAGGGGUGCAAUCUGGGGCCUGUAGCACAGUUCAUCAUAGGAUUAGAUUCACUAGAAACGAGGGGCUUGAAGUCAGACCUUGGGGUCUCUACUAGCAGCCCUACCCAGCUGGUUAGCUGAUAGGUUACUCCGCUGUAAAUGCUGAGAUGGAGUCACCCGAAGCCAGGGGUGGCCGGUGUUCACCCUGGAGUCUCCCUGGUCAGCAUCAGGGAAAGAGAGCAGAAAACAGGUCUUAUUUUUAUUAUUAACUUGGCAGCUCUUCGCUAAUCUGAACAAUGACACUUCUCUCUCCCUCCCCUCCUUCCCUCUCCCUCCCCCUCCCCUAGUCAGGAGACCCCGAGGUUGUGAGGCCAAACAGACAUGGUCUUGAACUCCCUCCAGGCCCCUAUCUCACCUGCGGUCUUGGGAGCUCCCCUAACCCACCUGACACUCAUUUCCAGGGUCUGUAAAGUGAAGCUGACAGUACUGACCUCAUCGUGCUCUUUGCAGAUUUAAUUAAGUAACGCUAAAGUCACGGGAGGAGCGCCAGCCGGGCCUGGCCAGAAAGGGCGACUUAAAGACUGUCUCAAAACAAAGCUACCCACGCAGGGGGGGCAGCCGCAGGGCAGUGCCCAUGGCAGGCUGGCCGCAGCAGGGCCCAGCCACCCCAGGAGGGGGCUUGGCCAGACCCGAAGUGGAGAGGGCUGCCUGGCAGGGACCGUGACCUUUAGUCAAGGACAGCCAGUCUGACCCAGUUGUGUAAACCCAGCAGGAGGGUGCGGGCACUGCCUGCAGGAGCUGGAGCGGGUGGAGCAGGUACGCUGUGGGCUGAAACAAGCUCCCCGGCACGGGAAGGGCUCCAGAACGAGAGCUAGGGUGAUAUGUCCCUUCCAGACCAGUUCAGGGCCUUUCAAGUCUGGAAGGUGGACGUCUCUUGAGCCCAGGUGUUUUCGGUUCCCCAUAAAGCAUCAGUGCAGCCUGCACACACAGCACGUGCCGCGCAGUGUUUGCCGGCCAGGAAGCCGGUUCUGGAAGGGGCAUAAGGUCCUGACUGACUUGGCCAGCAAGUGUCACGUUUUGGAUUUAAUAUAAAGCGCAGUUCAGUCAGAGAGGAGGGCGCGAUACAUUAAAAUUGUACAUCACAGAUGGAGAUAGGCUGGAAAACAACAGGUCCGCUCUGGCUUUUCUUUUUUGUUGAAACACAGUUGAUUUGCGGUGUGUGAGUUUCAGUGCAGGGAAGCGAUUCAGGUCACACGUAUACACGUACAUUUUUGGUACAUUCUCUUCCCUUACAGGUUAUUCUGAGAUACUGAGCAGAGUCCCCUGUGCUGUACAGCAGGUCCUUGUGGGUUGUCUUCCGUAUCUAGAGUCGCGUGUGUAUUUCCAUCCCGUCUCCUCAUUUAUCCCUCUCUCCCCUCCCCUUUUCUGAUCCAUGUCUCAUUUUGCCUCCCCAAAGAGUUGGCAUCCAAGCGCUUCUUAGUAUCCUGUUGGCAAAAGGGCAGGGGAGUUCACCAACAGCAUCCACGGAGAACCGGCUGUCGGCUGUCGGCUGCUUUGUAAACAGAGCCCCCACCCCCACCCCACCCCCCGGCGCUGUCUUUGGUGCCUGAUUGGCUCUGAGGUUGCAGGGCUCUUGCUGGCAGGGGAGGCUCUGGGUGGAUGGAAAGUCUAAUAGAUCAGUGCCCUGUGCCCUGUGCCCUGUGCCCUGGGGAGUAACGCUCUUUACAGGAGGCGCUGUUCCAGCCCAGCCCGGGGCUCUUGCCCUUAGAACUGGACUUCGAGGAGGCCUAUCAGACAUUUUCCCGGGGGGCCCCCUGAGCUCCAUGGGGUGAUCUGCACACGUGCACCUGUCAAGCCCCAGAGGGGAAUGACCUUCCGCCUGGGAACCUGCUCAACCUGCUCGGUAGAAGAGCUGUAAUUUAGCUCACUCCGUGUCUGGCCAGAUUUUUCUGGCUGCCAAUUAGCUGUUUGGAAAGGAGGGUAGAGCCCAGGUAAGACGGUCGUGGGCUGGUGGGCAUCGGCCGGAUCCUGCUUGCCGUCCUCAGGUCACAGCUGGACCAGCCUGCUCUUCCCUUUCUCAGACUAAGGCUUUGGGAACUGGCAGGUCCAGGGCCCAGGAACCUGCAUUUUUACAGGUCCCCAUGGAGGUGACAUAUGGCCUUGUUUUGGAAACAGGGUUCCUGGGAGCAAGAGCAGAAAAAGUACUUAAACAGGAUUUAAGCAUAUAAAUGCCCUCCCUUACAUGCUAAGAAACUGCUGCUUCCCCUUUGCUGCAGGGAGUUCCCGUCGUGGCGCAGCAGAAACAAAUCUGACCAGGAACCAUGAAGAUGCGGGUUUGACCCCUGCCCUCUCUCAGUGGGUUAAGGAUCCGGCAUUGCCGUGAGCGGUGGUGUAGGUCACAGACAUGGCUCGGAUCUGGCGUUGCUGUGGCUGUGGUGUACACUGGCAGCUGUAGCUCCGAUUCGACCCCUAGCCUGGGAACCUCCAUAUUCCACGG